rnacentral:rRNA from 1 species
UACGGAGGGGGCUAGCGUUGUUCGGAAUUACUGGGCGUAAAGCGUACGUAGGCGGCUUUGCAAGUUAGAGGUGAAAGCCUGGAGCUCAACUCCAGAACUGCCUUUAAAACUGCAUCGCUUGAAUCCAGGAGAGGUGAGUGGAAUUCCGAGUGUAGAGGUGAAAUUCGUAGAUAUUCGGAAGAACACCAGUGGCGAAGGCGGCUCACUGGACUGGUAUUGACGCUGAGGUACGAAAGCGUGGGGAGCAAACAGG